UCACGACCACAUCGGGGGUUAUUGUUGCAACGUCUCAAGUGCGUCGUCAACUCAUUUCUUUUCAAUUUUAUCUUGUUUUGAUGAACAUGCAGAAGCAUGUACAACAACCAUCUCCCAGACAACACAACAAUCAAACAGCCAAGAAAACACUAUACAAAUCAUAUUGCUACUAUAUUAUAUCGGUAUGAUUACAAGCCAUUUUCUAUGGGCAUUUCCUUAUUUACAUUAAUCUUCUAUCAGCUGUAGGCUAGGGAUUCCUAUCUCCUCUAGUGGGGCCUCGACUCCAAAAGGGUGAGACUUCCAUACCUACAAGUUUGAAAAGACAACGGAAUGAGUCAAGGACUCAAUAAAUAAAACCACUAAACCUAGGUUAAGAGGAAAUCUCAUCAUCGAAUCUAGCAUGCAAACAACACUUGCACCACAACAUUGAUGGCAGAUCAAUAGCAAUUCUAUUGUUGUACCUCAACUAUAUGCAUAUGAUCAUUUCUAGCUUACUGUCAAGGCAUGAUUUGCCUUUGGCUUGUUAAUAAACAAAUCAAUAACACAUAUCAACAUACAUAAAAGGUUCAUUAACCAUCUCAAAUACUUUCUCCCAUACUUUUAGGAGCUUCCAGCUUCAAGCUUGGCAUCCAAAAUCCACCGAGCAUCCUAUACUCUCAAGUGCUUCACGUUCUCAUGAACAAGGCAACGUAACGCAUUGUUUAGGGUAGAGGUGUGCUACCAUCCCUCAUCCCAACUUAAUAUUGUCCUCUUUGGGGUGUGCUCUUGGACCGUUCCCCUCAAGGAUUUGCCGUUGGCGUGGCCAAGAUGCGUUGACAACAUUUAUCCUUUAUGUGACCGCACAUCAUGGAAGUGCGUUGUGUGCUCUGACCUAAGACAUCAUGACUAUCAAUAUGCCAAGCACGACAUGAAACUCAUGGUUUGAACCAACACGCCUAGCAUUGAACCAAAGCCAAGCGAGACUCAAAUCAACACAUCUUAAUGUUGAUCCACGACCAAGCAAGGCUCAGAUUCGUUAUGCCUUAACAUCAAUCCCAAAACUGAGCAAGACUCGUCCAUGACUCAGGGCAUAAUCAUACUUACGCCUGCAAAGAUAUGAAAAAAAAAACCAUACAACCAUCAUUAAAAUGUACACAACUAAGCCCGAACAAGAACACGAUCGAUGAACUCACAGCUUGAACUGACACAACUCAAUGCCUAUCCAAGGUCAUGUGAGACUCGUUCAUGACCCGAGGCAUGAUUAUGAUUCAUGCAUGCAAAUCAUGGGCAAAACUUACAAAGCACUCAUCAUCAUGCACAUAAUUAAGCACAGGUGAGCACACAUUCAAAUCCAACAACGCAACACAUCGCCCUAACUAAAGGUUAGAGAUUCUAUUGACAAAUGUAAGGACAUAAGCCAACCAUACAAAAGUAUUCAUCAUCAUGCACACGAUGAAGCAUCGGUAAGUACACAUCCUAAUUCAACAGCGUAACAUAUCGCCAUAACUAGGGGUUAGUAAUUUCAAUUACACUUGAUGAAUUAAGACCGGUUUGCCAAGGAAUGGCCGAAUGGUGAGGGCGGUGGGCUAGUGUGGCCGAGAGAGAGAGGGAGGCGUGCAAGAGGAGAGGAGAGGAAGAAAUGAGCCAAGGAUGUGUGAAUUAAAGGAUUGGUUCUUCUAUUUAUAGGCCAACCCUCAUUGAAUGGCCUUUAUAUGUGGUCCAAUGAGAUCCCUUCUUGUGGUAAGCCUAUUUUGAAGAUGUGUCACCUUAUGGUUCCUAGAGAAUGAUUAUGCCUUUGUGUUCUCUUCCUAUUGGUCCACCUAGCUCAUGAGUCAUCAUAUAGUGAUGACUAAGCUUAACUUGCUUUACAAGCCAAUCUUCUGGCCAUCAUUACCUAUCCUUAGCAUGCUACCUAAGUGGACAACUCAUGCUUUCAUUAAAAGGUCAAGAUAUAGUUAUCAUGGUCUUGCAAGAUCACUAGUCAAUAAUUCCCUUAGAUCAUGAGUCAUCUAGCAUUUAUGAUUGGGCUAAGUUGUCUUCCAAGGCUCACAUUAGUAUAAUUAUGGCCUAAGCUCAUAAAGACACAUAAGCUUAUGAAUCAUCCUCUUUCAUUAAUGGCUAGCUUCCAAAUUCAUUAAUGGUUUGACUUGGUCAUCAAGACAACUUGUGUCUAGGGUUACUUGUUCUCCAAGGUGGGCAUGUGACUCGUCCCCCAUCCCUAGUGUACUAUCUUCCAGAGAUCAUUAAUCCCUUCAAGAAGCAAGCUCCUUUCUUGCCACUUGGGUGGGUGAGUCGCUCCUUCAUUAGUUAACUAGCUUCUAAAGAUAAUUAAUGCACACAUGAGAAAGAAGCCAAAUGGAAGUGCCACUUCAUCAUAUGGGAAUUUCUUGUGUUCAUCCACAUGAUCGGUAAAACUAAGUCAACGGUUCACUUGAACCAAUGUGCGGCCAGGGUCGGUUAGGCCUAGGGCCAGUUCCUACCCCUACUAACUGGUCUUGGGACCGGACCUGUGGCUAGUCCAAGGUCCUACGCACAAUCCAUGACCGAUUCAGAACCAAUCCAUGUUUGAGUUUAAUUGAUCCUCGAUUAUCAUGUGAUCGUAUGAGAUUGAUUGAUCUGACUUGAUAUACGAUUGCACAGAAUCAAUCCAUGGUCAUUCACUAUUAGUUUAAUGACCGUGUAGAAUCACCCACCGGUACAUAACCGUGCAGAAUCAAUCCAUAACCGUCCAUUGAUCGAUCCGUAAUGGUGUGUGAUCAACCCACGGCCGAUCCUCUUGGUCAAGCAACCUAUCCAUGGUCGAAUAUUCUAAUCAACUUGCACGACUGGUUGAUCGAUUCACUUUUGAUCCCAUGGUCGAUCUUUCAAUUGAAUAUAAACAAUCCUUAGUCACCUUUCCUGAUCGGACUAAUUGGUCCAUAGCCGAUCCUUAGAUCAAUUCAUGGCCAAUCCCCGUUAUUGGUGUACCAAUCCCUAGACCACUUUUCACGACCGAGACAAGGAUGCGGACCGUGGAGGUCACAAGAAGAUCCAAAGAAUAAGUAUCAAUUUUACCUCUUCUAGAUUGAAAAAUAUACUCUGGAAGAGGCGACAAUGGGGCUAAGGCGAUCAAAAAACAAACAAUUGCCAGAAAACUACCUCUUUUGAGCCAUCCAAUGUUAAGAGAGAGCUCACAAUGGUAGCCAUGGUAUCGUUGCCGCUCGCUUCGAUGCCAAGGACGGAAAAAUCAUCACCAUUUGCACUCGUCAUUCCUCCACACAAAAUCAAGGAGCUGGAGUUAGGACUAGAAGGCAAUCAUGACGAAGUCAGAGCUCGAGAUCCAAUAGCUAUGACCGACAGGGCUCUUAGGAGCGAGAGAGAGCUCACAAUGGUAGUCACAGUGUCGUCACAGCUUGUUUCAACGCCAAGGAUGACCAAAUCAUUGCCACCCGCGCUCGCCGUUCCUCCACAUGAAACUGAGGAGUUCAGAUUGUAAGGUGAUCACGAUGAAGAGGCAAAGGCGAAGGCGACCUUUCGGAGGGAGAGAUUUUUUAAAAUGAGAGAAAGAGUGGGUUUCACACGGCUGAUGGAGAAGAAGACAUUGUACUUAAUGAAGAGAGAGAGAAUUUUGAAAGAGAUGAGGCGCAUCUUCGUGCACAUGGCCA
rnacentral:lncRNA from 1 species